rnacentral:rRNA from 1 species
UAACAAUUUUUACCGCAAACCAGGUAAGAAAAACCACCCAACGAAAGCAAACAAAUAAACAAACGAAGGA